AUCAGAAAGUGUUGGGAAGCAUGAUGAUUGGGUUUUCAUGCACAUGUGUGAGAUGCACCUCCCUCAAUCCUUGUCCUUGUUACGACAUUGGCACGUUACUCGUCUGAUG